AGCGGCUUAGGUUAGCAGAUUUAGACCAAGGGCCUUCAAAGCCCUAAGCGGGAGUCAAAACCUCCCAGCCUCUG
rnacentral:tRNA from 1 species